CGGCGUGCCUAACACAUGCAAGUCGAACGAUAUUUAGUGUAGUGGAGACUUCGGUCAAAGUGAAGCUAAUGAAAGCGGCGGACGGGUGAGUAACGCGUGGGCAACCUGCCCCAUACAAAGGGAUAGCCACUGGAAACGGUGAUUAAUACCUUAUAAGUCGGUAGUCUCGCAUGAGAUAGCCGACAAAGAUUUAUCGGUAUGGGAUGGGCCCGCGCUUGAUUAGCUAGUUGGUGAGGUAACGGCUCACCAAGGCGACGAUCAAUAGCCGACCUGAGAGGGUGAUCGGCCACACUGGAACUGAGACACGGUCCAGACUCCUACGGGAGGCAGCAGUGGGGAAUAUUGCACAAUGGGCGCAAGCCUGAUGCAACAACGCCGCGUGAGUGAUGAAGGCCUUCGGGUCGUAAAACUCUGUCCUAUGGGAAGAAAAAAAUGACGGUACCAUAGGAGGAAGCCCCGGCUAACUACGUGCCAGCAGCCGCGGUAAUACGUAGGGGG
rnacentral:rRNA from 1 species